AAUAACCUCCCCCCUCCCAACCCAAUUCCCCAUUCAGCUGCGUGAGCUAACCCCACGCCUCCCACUCCCAGUCUCCCAGCGUGACCUAACCCCAUUCAGCGGGACCGUUCCCCCUUACCCCAAUCGGAAGUGAAACCUGGCGAUCUCCUCUCACAGUCGCGCUCUCCCCUCAGGCCCUCACAGUCUGCACCGUUCCCCCCUCGAAAGUGAAACCUCAUUCUUGAGUCUCGAGGCCGGCGGCGAACUCACGUUGCAGCACCUCCCAGCGCCGCGAGAGACCCUUCCUCCCAACGCCGCCGAACCUCUUCGCGGACAGAGCACCACGAAGACCCAGCCCCAGCACCACCCUCGCACCCAGGCGUAGCAGUGUUUCUGGCCACCCAGGCACCGACAACACAGCACUUCUCAAUCUCCCACCCACAACACAGCAGCCACCGGUUGGUCCUCUUCCAGUGCUCUUCCUCCUUCCCAUCCACUUGACUUCAGGAUAUAAGAAGAGAACUUGGAAUCAAUAUAAUUGAUGAACAAAAGGUGCAAUUGUCUAAGAAAGUCGACAUGGGGACUAUUGAAUGAAUUUUUGGCAAAGUGUGGAAGGAACUGGACAGAGAUAAGGGAAAGAAGAGGGUGGGAAUGCCACGAAAAAACCAACAGCUGUAAUUAUGCGGGACUCUGAUAUUCUGUUGAUACAUGGCCGUUUUAUCGGCGAUAUUGCACCAUUAUGGGGAAAGCGUGAGGCGGUGGUGGAACCCUACUCUGCCCAUGCGUGCCAGUGUUAUAUGCCAUGGAAGACCUCUGGCAACAGGCUUGAAAACUUUCUUAAAGAAGUGAGCCAGCAUCACCAAAUUGUGGUGCUAAAGAGAAUGAAGGGUGCCCUGACUCAGAACAAUGAUCUCGACGAGGAUGUAGCAGAAGAGUACAGGGUUUACGCGGCGACGAGGAGGAGGAUGCGACAACCAGGUGGUGCCGUGGUGAUUGACAAUGAUGCCACUGCUGACACCAAGAUCCUCCAACUAUGGUAAUAACUGAAAUACGACUCUAGUAAUCUUUCUUUCUGUCCUAAAAUUUUCUUCGGGUUAAUAUAGCUCCUAAUUUUCAUUGAUUGUCUCUGAUUUGAUUUUCAUCCUAUAGUUUAUUAUUUACCUUAUUGUAUGAAAUCAAUUUGACUAGUUUCUGCAAGCAUUCAAGGCUGUGGCCGUAGCUAAUUUUCCUUUGUAACUAGAACUCUACCAAAUGAAUUUUUUGGACAAAUUAGCACAAAUUCAUAUUCUUUG